rnacentral:rRNA from 1 species
CCUACGUGGGGCAGCAGUGGGGAAUAUUGCGCAAUGGGCGAAAGCCUGACGCAGCGACGCCGCGUGAGGGAUGAAGGUCUUCGGAUCGUAAACCUCUGUCAGCAGGGAAGAACGGUCACUGUGCUAAUCAGCAGUGAAUUGACGGUACCUGCAAAGGAAGCACCGGCUAACUCCGUGCCAGCAGCGGCGGUAAUACGGAGGGUGCGAGCGUUAAUCGGAAUUACUGGGCGUAAAGCGCUCGUAGGCGGUAUGUCAAGUCAAGGGUGAAAUCCCCGCGCUAAACGUGGGAACUGCCUUUGAAACUGGCAAACUGGAGUGUGUGAGAGGAGAGUGGAAUUCCAGGUGUAGGAGUGAAAUCCGUAGAUAUCUGGAGGAACAUCAGUGGCGAAGGCGACUAUCUGGCACAUAACUGACGCUGAGGAGCGAAAGCGUGGGUAGCAAACAGGAUUAGAUACCCUUGUAGUC